rnacentral:tRNA from 1 species
GCCUUCGUGGUGUAAUGGUCAACACACUCGGCGCGUAUUCGAGAGAUCCUGGGUUCGAGUCUCGGCGAGGACA